rnacentral:rRNA from 1 species
AUACGAAGGGAGCUAGCGUUGUACGGAAUUACUGGGCGUAAAGCGCACGUAGGUGGACUGGUCAGUUGAGGGUGAAAUCCCAGGGCUCAACCCUGGAACUGCCUUCAAUACUGCCAGCCUUGAGUCCGAGAGAGGUGAGUGGAAUUCCUAGUGUAGAGGUGAAAUUCGUAGAUAUUAGGAAGAACACCAGUGGCGAAGGCGGCUCACUGGCUCGGUACUGACGCUGAGGUGCGAAAGCGUGGGGAGCAAACAGGAUUAGAUACCCCAGUAGUCC